rnacentral:misc_RNA from 1 species
AAGUCGUAACAAGGUCACCGUAGGUGAACCUGCGGUGGGAUCAUUACACUUUUCCAACAACAUUGGACAGUCUUAAAACAACUGUCUUCAACCUUCGUGAAUUCUGUUUCAAAAUACAAAAACCCGCUCGAUUGACGAUGAGGGAUCAGCUGUAAACCGGUUCGGUGAGAAAGGUUUACCCGGUCGAUCAUUCCAAACCUCUGUUGAUCAUAUGAGCAAUUUCUCACUGUAUUUCACUUUAUUAUUUUAACCCAUUGUAACCAAUGAAAUAUUUUCUUUUUUGUUGUUAACGCAACAAAAAACAAAUUAAACAAAUUUUGAAGCACAACUCUUAACAACGGAUAUCUAGGCUCUCGG